AUUGAACGCUGGCGGCAUGCUUUACACAUGCAAGUCGAACGGUAACAGGGUGCUUGCACCGCUGACGAGUGGCGAACGGGUGAGUAAUGCGUCGGAACGUGCCGAGUAGUGGGGGAUAACGCAGCGAAAGUUGCGCUAAUACCGCAUACGUACUGAGGUAGAAAGUGGGGGACCUUCGGGCCUCACGCUAUUCGAGCGGCCGACGUCUGAUUAGCUAGUAGGUGAGGUAAAGGCUCACCUAGGCGACGAUCAGUAGCGGGUCUGAGAGGAUGAUCCGCCACACUGGGACUGAGACACGGCCCAGACUUCUACGGGAGGCAGCAGUGGGGAAUUUUGGACAAUGGGCGAAAGCCUGAUCCAGCCAUGCCGCGUGUCUGAAGAAGGCCUUCGGGUUGUAAAGGACUUUUGUCAGGGAGGAAAUCCCUAGUGCUAAUAACACUGGGGGAUGACAGUACCUGAAGAAUAAGCACCGGCUAACUACGUGCCAGCAGCCGCAGUAA
rnacentral:rRNA from 1 species